AGAAGCAGAGCGGUAGGGACCCUGGCAAUUGGAAGGCCGAAGCGCGGGACUGAGGGUCGGGAGGCGUGGGACACUUGGGGGCUAGGAGCGAGGCCCUCGCGGAUCACCGCGUGGGGCAGCUGUGCUGGGAGCUAAUGACCAGACUCAGAUCAGGGGCUCGGGGCCGGGGAGCUAGGCCCCAGGAUUGAUAGGACGUUCACCACAGCUCUGCACUCCUAAACCGGCUCUCUUUGAAACGAGGGACCUUUUAUUAAUCUGCCUUUUACCUUCCUCAACUUAGUCCAGUGGCUGUUUGUAGCUGCAGGAUGUUUUGUUAUCUUUUAGUGACGGAGUCUGUAACAGUCAACUGGUUUUGAACUCAAAAUCCUCCAGCCCUUGCCUCUGAAGAGGUGGAAGUGCAGUACAGGCCAGCACCAGAACACUCUAGAUUGGAUUGAUUGUCUAUCAAUCUUCCUUUCUCAAAAGUUAGUAGGUUGAUUGGUUGGGUGGGUUUUGUUUUUUUUUUUUUUUUAAGGUUUAUAUAUUUUAUAUAUGUGAGUACAUCGGUGCUGUCUUCAGACACACCAGAAGAGGGCGUCAGAUCCCAUUACAGAUGGUUGUGAGCCACCAUGUGGUUGCUGGGAGUUGAACUCAGGACCUCUGGUAGAGCAGUCAGUGCUCUUAACUGCUGAGCCAUCUCUCCAGCUAAUUGGUUGGUUUUUGAGACAUCAUCUCUUGUAGUCAACCCAGACUGGCCAAGAACUUGUCCUGUGCCAUCCUUAAACUGCUGUUCCUUCUACCUCCACCUUUCAGGUACUGGUAUUUGGGGGAUUAGACACCUGGCUUCUUCACCAUCACCACUCCCAAACAGGAUUUCAUGUCACCCACAGUGGCCUUGUACUUGUUAUGAAUGAAUUUGGGCUCCAGUUCUUUCUGUCUCCACCUCCUCUCUGUUGGGGUUAUAUGCAUGUGUUGUCACACCAGGCUCAGACCGCAUUGGUGUUUUAAGUAAAAUCCUGGUUGGUUUGCCUGAUUUGAGUUCACUGGCCUAUCCCUUAUGAUAUUAUCAUUUAGUAACACACUUAGCACAAAUGUACUUGUAAUAUCUGGUUAGAUUUGCCUGUUGGUUCAAGUGGAUAUCACCCAGCAAACCUGUCCUCGUCACAGGCAUUUACCCUGUGACAUAUACUCCAUCCACAAAAAUCAGUGUUUUCUGGCAUACCAUCUACCAGGUGUCCCAUUCAGAAACUUUAAAACUAACUCCUUGACUUUGCCCUCUACCUUACCAUAAAUCAAUUGCUAGGUCUUCAGUAUUUGUACUACCAAUUCAUGCUCUGGUUUUUCUAUUAUUGAUACAUGCACUAGAUAUCUAUUGGUCUGUUACUACUACUUUCAGUUCAUUAUUCUCAUAACAGAGUCAUUAACCAAGAAUUACAGGGGCCAAUAAUGGUUAAUGAAACAAAGGGAAACUUGAUGAAGUCAAUCAUCAAAAAUGACGAUUGAGACUAAGAGAGAGCCAACUCCACAGAAUUGUCCACUGACCAUCACACUUCUGUCUUGACACACAGUUGUCAAGAGAACUGAUUCCCAAAUGUCCUCCAACCUCUGUAUUCAUGCCAGGACACAUACUUGCAUGGACAUAAACAAAUGUGAUUAAAAAGCAGCCUGACAUGUGCUGAGAAUGUAAGUUUGGGACACUGUGAAAGUCAGGACUUAGGAAAUUUGGAUGCAGAUUCAGAAAAAUAUCAGAUAUUCUUAACUAUGAUUCUGAUAGUUUCAAAACUGAAAACUAGUGCUAUGGGCUUCUAUAAAGAGACACUAAUGACCGACCUUCAGAACAGUUAUUUCCCUUGCAUAUUCUAAAACUGGUGGACUAGUUAUGUGAUCUUAAGGAAAAUCUUUUUAUAUUUCUAAGCCCCAGUUUCCUCAGUUUUAACAUGAAUGGAACAAAAGAAUCUUUUAAGAUCCAGCCCAGUUCUAAAAUUGAUUCUACACCAUAUAACAUGAAUUAUGAGAUCAAAUGUAGCAUAAAAAAAGAACAUGAAAAUACAUUGAGCUAGACAUACUUUGAUUUUCCUCUAGGGUAUGCACGCCUCCCUUGUCAUCCAAAAAGUUCCUUGAAAACAGCUAAGUUUUUCUUGUCUGCUAUGUUCUCAGAACUAAGUUCAUAUUGGAACUCUAUAUUUAUUAAUUUGAGUAAAUUGGCAAGAGAUAAAUAUAUAGUAUCUUUUUCUCUGAGAUUAAUUUACUUUUAUUUAUGUAUAUGUGUGGAUGACUGUGGAGGCCAGAAAAGGGUGUCAGAUCUCCUGGAGUUAGAGUUACCUGAUGUGGGUGUGGGGAUCAAAUUGGGGACCCCUAUAAGACCAGAUGCAAAUGUUUGUGCAGGAUUCUGUGGUUGCUGUGGGGGUGCUGGAGCUUGGGACCUUAAGACACAGGCUUGGGAUCCUACUAUUAAGCUACACUUCCAGAUGCAAAUUGUAAUACCAGUAGAAAAAUAAAAAUCCACCUCUAAUCUCUUUACCAGUUUGUAUUUGCUACUGGCAGUGAGAUUUCCAUACUAGUCUCUUCUCUCUCUUAAUUUUUUUUUAAUCUAGGUUUUUAGGGGGAGCACAUAUCAGUUUUAUUGCAGAGUGGGUUCUGUAUUGAUGAGUAUGUUUUUAACCUUACUUAGAACAAAAAUUAUUUUUUGAAGUUGAAGACAUUUUAAUUUUAUAUGUGCACACACCUAUAUGCAUGUUCAUAUGUUCAUGGGCGCAUAUGUAUGUGUAGAUGCUAGAGCUUGUGAAAGCCUAAAGUUGACACUCAAGUGUCUUCCUCAAUUUCUGUUUUAUUUAUUGAGACAGGUUCCCUCAUUAAAACCACCAAUUCUGGUCUAGUCUAGUUAGCCAGUUAACCCUAGGGAUCCAGUCUUUGCCUCUGAGGCAUAGGAUUGAAAAUAGCCACCACUUGAGAUCACAUGGGUUCUGGGAAUCCAGACUCUGAUCCUUGGGCUUAUAGCAUUUCCCCAACCCAGUAUUUUUAUUAUUAUCUGGGUUGAAUUUUUAUACCUGGAUGCAAAUUAUAACAAACUAUAUUUACUCAUUCUUAAGCAGUUUUCAUUAAAAACUACAUUUUGGCCUGGUAUAGUGGUUUAUAUACAUGCCUAUAAUUCCAGCACCUGGAGGCAGAGGCAUAUGGAUCUCUUGAGUUUUAGGGCAACCUGGUUUACAUAGUGAAUUCCAGACCAGCCAAGACUAUAUAGUGAGACCCCUGUCUCAAAAUAUGCACACACACUAUGUUUGAGUUUAGUUUUAAGGCGGAGCCUCCCUGUGUAGCCCUGACUGAUAUUCAACUGGCAGUCAUUCUGGCUCAGACUCCCAAGUGUUAGGAUUGUAGGAGUAUGUCACCUUGCCUGGACACAUUAUAUUUUGUACUACUAUAUCAUAAUACCUAGAAUGACAUUGUUUAAUUUUUAUCAUCUAUAAUGUUUUCUGCAAGUGGUUAUUAAUUUUUUGUUUUUUGUUUUUCCAGACAGGGUUUCUCUGUGUAGCCCUGGUUGUCCUGGAACUCACUUUGUAGACCAGGCUGGCCUCAAACCCAGAAAUCCACCUGCCUCUGCCUCUGCCUCCCGAGUGUUGGGAUUAAAGGUGUGCACCACCACGCCCAGAUGGUUAUUAAUUUUUGAAUUGAAAUGGAUCAAAAUAAAGGAUUAUAUACUAUUACCCUGAAAGUUUAAGUAAAAGGAAAGUUAAGAAUCUUCUGAAAUCACUUAAGACUUUUCAUGAGCAAAUAACAACUCAACUUUAGGUGAUAGGUUAAACUUUUCAGGUAGAUGUGUACCUUUGUAAGAAUGAGGUUAUUAUUUCCUACCUUAAAGGUUAUAUUAAUAUUGAAUAAUGUAUAUAAAGUGACUGAGACAGUAGAUCCUCAGCACAUUUAUUUUUUAAUCUUUGUGUUCCUAGUACCACAGUAGUAUCUAGCACAUGGCAGUGCUUAAUGUGCUUAAACUGCACUAGUAAAGCUAGUAGCUUAGAGAAAGCAGGAUAGCAGACAAAUACUAUAGAUGGAGUAGUGUGACCUACAUCAGUCAAUACUAGGAACCCCUGAGGCUUCAGAGAGGUAAUAUUAAAGAUGAGACUUGAAAGGAUAGAACUUUGAUAGGGACACUGGUGAGGCUAAAAAGACACAGGUGCGUGUCAGAGAGAUAUAUGGAAGUAGAUCCUAUUUUCAUAGCAAAUACAGAGUAAGAAUAUGAGGCUAUGAAGAUGUCAAACAAAGAUCAGACCACAACCUAUCUUUCAUUUCAUUAAGGAAUUUACACUUAAGCACAUUAAAAUUUUUUAAAAAUUGUAUUCAUUCAAAAAAUGUUGGUUGGUUAUUGUAUGCUAAGCACUGAAGAAGGAAAGAAAAUGUGUACCCUUGAGGGAUUUACAUUAUUAUGUAGAGAUGAGAAAUAAUCUUGCAAGUUAUCAAAUAAUUUUUAAUCAUAGCAAUAUGGAAAACUACUGGAAUGUUUUGAGAGGAAACAUUUCUUGAAGCUUUCUAGCUUUGAGGAUAAGCUGAAAGGAUGAUGGCAAAUGUGGUGAUAUUGUUAAGCAAUUGUAUUACUAUAAAUAUAAUUCUACACAUACCAUGGUGCUGAGAAUUGAACUAUGCCUUGAACAUUUGAGGGAAGUACCACUGAGUGACAUCCCAGCCUCAUACAGUGUUAUAGAACAGAAGACUAAAAUGUGGUCAGAGUGAAUAAAUGUUACUGACAGCUGAGUGUAGUGGCAGAAAACCUAUCCACUUAGGAUGCUGGGAUAGGAGGAUCACAAACCCAUCCUGAGCUACCUAGUUCUAUGCCAACUACCUAGCAAGACACUGCAGAAGGAAGGAAGGAAGGAAGGAAGG
rnacentral:lncRNA from 1 species